UGAAUACGAGACGCUAAGGCGUUGAAGUAGUGUAUGUCAUACUUCCAAGAAAAGCUUGCACUGUCAUAGAUAAAAAACGCCUGUACCAUAACCGACACAGGUGGGUAGGUAGAGUAUACUAAGGGGCGCGAGAUAACUCUCUCUAAGGAACUCGGCAAAAUAACUCCGUAACUUCGGGAGAAGGAGUGCCUUAUUUAUAAGGCUGCAAUAACAAGAUCCAAGCAACUGUUUAUCAAAAACACAGGUCUCCGCUAAGUCGUAAGACGAUGUAUGGGGGCUGACGCCUGCCCAGUGCCAGAAGGUUAAAGAAGUUGGUUAGCAAUAGCGAAGCUGAUAACUGAAGCCCUGGUGAACGGCGGCCGUAACAAUAACGGUCCUAAGGUAGCGAAAUUCCUUGUCGGGUAAGUUCCGACCCGCACGAAAGGCGUAAUGAUUUGGAUACUGUCUCGGAGAGGGGCUCGGUGAAAUAGACUUGUCUGUGAAGAUGCGGACUACCUGCACCAGGACAGAAAGACCCUAUGAAGCUUUACUGUAACUUGAAAUUGAAAUUGGACUUUAUUCGCGCAGUAUAGGUGGGAGGCGUUGAUUGUAAUCUUGCGGGAUUAUUGGAGCCAUCAGUGAGAUACCACCCUUGUAAUGUUAGAUUUCUAACUUUGAAUCAUUAUCUGGUCAAAGAACAGUUUCAGGCGGGCAGUUUGACUGGGGCGGUCGCCUCCUAAACGGUAACGGAGGCGUACAAAGGUUUCCUCUGAACGGUUAGAAAUCGUAUCUAGAGUGUAAAGGCAUAAGGAAGCUUGACUGUGAGACCUACAAGUCGAGCAGGGACGAAAGUCGGUCUUAGUGAUCUGACGGUACUGAGUGGAAAGGCCGUCACUCAACGGAUAAAAGUUACUCUAGGAUAACAGGCUGAUCUCCCCCAAGAGUUCACAUCGACGGGGAGGUUUGGCACCUCGAUGUCGGCUCAUCGCAUCCUGGGGCGGUAGUACGUCCCAAGGGUUGGGCUGUUCGCCCAUGAAAGCGGUACGCGAGCUGGGUUCAGAACGUCGUGAGACAGUUCGGUCCAUAUCCGGUGUAGACGUUAGAAUAUUGAGAGGAGCCUUCUUUAGUACGAGAGGACCGGGAAGGACAUACCUCUGGUGUACCAGUUAUCGUGCCAACGGUAAACGCUGGGUAGCUAUGUAUGGAGUGGAUAACCGCUGAAAGCAUCUAAGUGGGAAGCCCACCUCAAGAUAAGUA
rnacentral:rRNA from 1 species